rnacentral:tRNA from 1 species
GGCCCCUUAGUUCAACGGAUAGAAUGGAGGUUUCCUAAACCUUAGAUACAGGUUCGAUUCCUGUAGGGGCUA